AUUGAACGCUGGCGGCAGGCCUAACACAUGCAAGUCGAACGAGUGGCGGACGGGUGAGUAAUGUCUGGGAAACUGCCGGAUGGAGGGGGUUAACUACUGGAAACGGUAGCUAAUACCGCAUACCAUCGGAUGUGCCCACAUGGGAUGAGCUAGUAGGUGGGGUAAAUGCUCACCUGGGCGACGAUCCCUAGCUGGUCUGAGAGGAUGACCAGCAACACUGGAAGAUGGCCACGCGCCGGACUCCUACGAGAGGUAGCAGUGGGGAAGAUUGCACAAUUGCCGCAUGCCUGAUGGAGCCAUGCCGCGUGUAUGAAGACGGCCUUCGGGUUGUAAAGUACUUUCUGCGGGGAGGCGUUACCCGCAGAAGAAGCACCGGCUAACUCCGUGCCAGCAGCCGCGGAGAAAC
rnacentral:rRNA from 1 species